ACUUCACAUUUAUGUGGACAUCUUUGCUACAUUAUGUUGUGUUUUUGUAAGUUGCUAGCAAGUAAAAUAAUAUCAUUCAAAGCUAUAUUAUGUUUAAAAUAUAUAUAUGUAUUCUGACGCAUCAUAAUAGAACAACAGAAUAGCAAAGCAGAAUUACUACGGCAUUUACGGUAAAAGAAGCGCGACUGAAUUUUAACCAGUACGUUUAUCUCAGUUGAUUCACCCAUGCUGGUGUUAAAGCUUCUGUUUCACAUGCACACUGUGAUGGAUUAAAGACAAAGAAAAACAAAAGCAAAGUUAGGAGAGUCAAUGAUGGUGACAACUCAAGGGAACUGAGAGAUGGCUCGAGUGAUUUAAAUAGCUUACAAAGCUCGGGGCACGAGGCAGCAAUCGCAACAACAACUAAUUUACAGCAGAUUAUAAACUUCCCAAAAUAUUCAGGACAUCAGCAGGGCUGAGUGUAAAAGCAGGAUGACCAGUCCUAUUGUCGAGCUAUACUGGGCAACAGGAGGUGUGUCUGGCCGGCAUCAUCUUUCCCCGGGAGUAAAGUGGGCCUACAGAAAAGUACUCAGAACAGCCUGAAAGUGAAGCCUGGGGAUGGAGUGACUCUUCACCCCCUGAUAGGGCCUGUGUUACAGGCAGAAGAUGUGCAUCUCUCCACCAGAUGGAAAGAUCCCACUCUCUGGAAACUUACUCUCCCUGAUGUAUUUUGGCGGAGCGUGUAGUCUGCGGAUGACGGGGGUCGACGGCCUCUCCCUGGAGACCCCUGCAUACCCCGGGACUGGAGCCUGAUACAGAGGAGGCCUCUGACGAGCUCAGCGCUGGGCUCCACCUUCGCCCUGGGCUCCACCUCCGCCCUGGGCUCCACCUCCGCCCAGGGCUCCACCUCCAUGGACCUGAGGUGCAGGCCAGGGAUCCGGGGCAGCCUGGUCCUGCAUCCAGUACCCCCUGCAGGCCCGCCUGUGUGCCAUGUGUCCCUCCAACUCUCCCCGGCAACCCCCAGACUCCCGCUGAGUCUGAACAGGGCAGUCUCAGUCUAGAGGUGGAGAAUAAGGUGAAGUUCAGAGACGGGCACAAAGAGGCUCAAGAGGAGGAGGAUACGGCAGCCCCGAGAUCAAAAGUCAUAUACAGUAUGAUCCAGAGAGAGACUUCUCCAACUACGGAAUCACACCUCCUAGGGGGGUUCUCCUUUAUGGCCCCCCGGGAACAGGAAAGACUAUGAUUGGAUGAGCCAUAGCCAAUGAGGUCGGGGCACAUAUGACCGUAAUCAACCGUCCAUAAAUCAUGAGCAAGUAUGGUCAUAUUAUUGCUACCUAAUAAAAUGUGGUUGGGUACCAAGUACAAGAUCAUGUAUUGAGGGUUAGUGAUG